GGAAUCUUCCACAAUGGACGCAAGUCUGAUGGAGCAACGCCGCGUGAGUGAAGAAGGUCUUCGGAUCGUAAAGCUCUGUUGUAAGAGAAGAACGUGUGUGAGAGUGGAAAGUUCACACAGUGACGGUAACUUACCAGAAAGGGACGGCUAACUACGUGCCAG
rnacentral:rRNA from 1 species